UACAGAGGGUGCAAGCGUUGUUCGGAAUUAUUGGGCGUAAAGCGCGUGUAGGCGGCUUGGCAAGUCGGGUGUGAAAGCCCUCAGCUCAACUGAGGAAGUGCGCCCGAAACUGCUGAGCUUGAGUACCGGAGAGGAUGGCGGAAUUCCCCAAGUAGAGGUGAAAUUCGUAGAUAUGGGGAGGAACACCGGUGGCGAAGGCGGCCAUCUGGACGGUCACUGACGCUGAGACGCGAAAGCGUGGGGAGCAAACAGG
rnacentral:rRNA from 1 species